CGAAAGCCGGAUUAAUACCGCAUACGCUCUACGGAGGAAAGGGGGGGAUCGCAAGACCUCCCGCUACAGGGGCGGCCGAUGGCAGAUUAGCUAGUUGGUGGGGUAAAGGCCUACCAAGGCGACGAUCUGUAGCUGGUCUGAGAGGACGACCAGCCACACUGGGACUGAGACACGGCCCAGACUCCUACGGGAGGCAGCAGUGGGGAAUUUUGGACAAUGGGGGAAACCCUGAUCCAGCAAUGCCGCGUGUGUGAAGAAGGCCUUCGGGUUGUAAAGCACUUUUGUCCGGAAAGAAAUCCUUCGAGUUAAUACCUUGGGGGGAUGACGGUACCGGAAGAAUAAGCACCGGCUAACUACGUGCCAGCAGCCGCGGUAAUACGUAGGGUGCAAGCGUUAAUCGGAAUUACUGGGCGUAAAGCGUGCGCAGGCGGUCCGCUAAGACAGAUGUGAAAUCCCCGGGCUUAACCUGGGAACUGCAUUUGUGACUGGCGGGCUAGAGUAUGGCAGAGGGGGGUAGAAUUCCACGUGUAGCAGUGAAAUGCGUAGAGAUGUGGAGGAAUACCGAUGGCGAAGGCAGCCCCCUGGGCCAAUACUGACGCUC
rnacentral:rRNA from 1 species